rnacentral:rRNA from 1 species
AUUGAACGCUGGCGGCAGGCCUAACACAUGCAAGUCGAACGUGUGGCGGACGGGUGAAUAAUGUCGGGGACACUGCGCGAUGGAGGGGGAUAACUACUAGAAACGGGAGCUAACACCGCAAACCCUCGGAUGUGCCCAGAUGAGCUUCGCUAGUAGGUGGGGGAACGGCUCACCGAGGCGACGAUCCCUAGCUGGUCUGAGAGGAUGACCAGCCACACUGGAACUGAGACACGGUCCAGACUCCGACGGGAGGCAGCAGUGGGGAAUAUUGCACAAUGGGCGAAAGCCUGAUGCAGCCAUGCCGCGUGUAUGAAGAAGGCCUUCGGGUUGUAAAGUACUUUCAGCGAGGAGGCGUUACUCGCAGAAGAAGCACCGGCUAACUCCGUGCCAGCAGCCGCGGUAAUAC